AUGAACGCUAGCUACAGGCUUAACACAUGCAAGUCGAGGGGCAUCAGGAAGAAAGCUUGCUUUCUUUGCUGGCGACCGGCGCACGGGUGAGUAACACGUAUCCAACCUGCCCUUUACUCGGGGAUAGCCUUUCGAAAGAAAGAUUAAUACCCGAUAGCAUAAUGAUUCCGCAUGGUUUCAUUAUUAAAGGAUUCCGGUAAAGGAUGGGGAUGCGUUCCAUUAGGUUGUUGGUGAGGUAACGGCUCACCAAGCCUUCGAUGGAUAGGGGUUCUGAGAGGAAGGUCCCCCACAUUGGAACUGAGACACGGUCCAAACUCCUACGGGAGGCAGCAGUGAGGAAUAUUGGUCAAUGGGCGCUAGCCUGAACCAGCCAAGUAGCGUGAAGGAUGAAGGCUCUAUGGGUCGUAAACUUCUUUUAUAUAAGAAUAAAGUGCAGUAUGUAUACUGUUUUGUAUGUAUUAUAUGAAUAAGGAUCGGCUAACUCCGUGCCAGCAGCCGCGGUAAUACGGAGGAUCCGAGCGUUAUCCGGAUUUAUUGGGUUUAAAGGGAGCGUAGGUGGACUGGUAAGUCAGUUGUGAAAGUUUGCGGCUCAACCGUAAAAUUGCAGUUGAUACUGUCAGUCUUGAGUACAGUAGAGGUGGGCGGAAUUCGUGGUGUAGCGGUGAAAUGCUUAGAUAUCACGAAGAACUCCGAUUGCGAAGGCAGCUCACUGGACUGCAACUGACACUGAUGCUCGAAAGUGUGGGUAUCAAACAGGAUUAGAUACCCUGGUAGUCCAUGCCGUAAACGAUGAUUACUAGGUGUUGGGGGAUUGACCCCCUCAGUGCCGCAGUUAACACAAUAAGUAAUCCACCUGGGGAGUACGACCGCAAGGUUGAAACUCAAAGGAAUUGACGGGGGCCCGCACAAGCAGUGGAGUAUGUGGUUUAAUUCGACGCAACGCGAAGAACCUUACCAAGGCUUGACAUAUACAGGAAUAUAUAAGAGAUUAUAUAGCUCUUCGGAGUCUGUAUACAGGUGGUGCAUGGUUGUCGUCAGCUCGUGCCGUGAGGUGUCGGCUUAAGUGCCAUAACGAGCGCAACCCUUGUUGUCAGUUACUAACAGGAUUUGCUGAGGACUCUGACAAGACUGCCAUCGUAAGAUGUGAGGAAGGUGGGGAUGACGUCAAAUCAGCACGGCCCUUACGUCCGGGGCUACACACGUGUUACAAUGGGGGGUACAGAAGGCAGCUAGCGGGUGACCGUAUGCUAAUCCCAAAAGCCUCUCUCAGUUCGGAUCGAAGUCUGCAACCCGACUUCGUGAAGCUGGAUUCGCUAGUAAUCGCGCAUCAGCCACGGCGCGGUGAAUACGUUCCCGGGCCUUGUACACACCGCCCGUCACACCAUGGGAGCCGGUAAUACCCGAAGUCAGUAGUCUAACCGCAAGGAGGACGCUGCCGAAGGUAGGAUUGGCGACUGGGGUG
rnacentral:rRNA from 1 species